UCGAAGGAAAUUGCCUACAUGUCAGAAGCAUUUUGAAGCAUUCAAUGAUUAAAUCAAAACACUUUCUAAUAUAUAUAUACUCUGCCUCAAUCCAUCAAAUGGAUCAGCAACUUACACAACCAGUCAAACUGGUCUUGUCUUUACGAGGUGUAUUGGAUUUUGUAAUCAAAGAAAACAAGAUAAUUUCAAGAGAAACAUCAAAAGUGCUUUAUUCAAAGUAAUAUCCAUCACAAACUACACAUUUCCCUCAUCUUUCAGGGUGAGCACAAAGCC